rnacentral:rRNA from 1 species
ACGCUCGACACCUACGAGGCAGCAGUGGGGAAUAUUGCACAAUGGGGGAAACCCUGAUGCAGCGACGCCGCGUGAAGGGAGAAGUAUCUCGGUAUGUAAACUUCUAUCAGCAGGGAAGAAAAUGACGGUACCUGACUAAGAAGCCCCGGCUAACUACGUGCUAGCAGCCGCGGUAAUCUGAGCGGGCUGGCAAGGC